rnacentral:rRNA from 1 species
AACGAACGCUGGCGGCAGGCCUAACACAUGCAAGUCGGGCGCGCCCUUCGGGUUGAGCGCCGGACGGGGGAUUAACGCGGGGUAACGUGCCCUUUUCUACGGAAUAGCCUCGGAAACCUGAGAGUAAUACCUUAUACGCCCUUGGGGGGAAAGAUUUAUCGGAAAAGGAUCGGCCCGCGUUGGAUUAGGUAGUGGGUGGGGUAAUGGCCUACCAAGCCGACGAUCCAUAGCUGGUUUGAGAGGAUGAUCAGCCACACUGGGACUGAGACACGGCCCAGACUCCUACGGGAGGCAGCAGUGGGGAAUCUUAGACAAUGGGGGCAACCCUGAUCUAGCCAUGCCGCGUGAGUGAUGAAGGCCUUAGGGUUGUAAAGCUCUUUCAGCUGGGAAGAUAAUGACGUUACCAGCAGAAGAAGCCCCGGCUAACUCCGUG